rnacentral:rRNA from 1 species
GACGAACGCUGGCGGCGUGCUUAACACAUGCAAGUCGAACGGAAAGGCCCUGCUUUUGUGGGGUGCUCGAGUGGCGAACGGGUGAGUAACACGUGAGUAACCUGCCCUUGACUUUGGGAUAACUUCAGGAAACUGGGGCUAAUACCGGAUAGGAGCUCCUGCUGCAUGGUGGGGGUUGGAAAGUUUCGGCGGUUGGGGAUGGACUCGCGGCUUAUCAGCUUGUUGGUGGGGUAGUGGCUUACCAAGGCUUUGACGGGUAGCCGGCCUGAGUGGGUGACCGGCCACAUUAGGACUGAGAUACGGCCCAGACUCCUACAGUAGACAGCAGUGGGGAAUAUUGCACAAUGGGCGGAAGCCUGAUGCAGCAACGCCGCGUGCGGGAUGACGGCCUUCGGGUUGUAAACCGCUUUCGCCUAUGACGAAGCGUGAGUGACGGUAAUGAGUAAAGAAGCACCGGCUAACUACGUG